rnacentral:lncRNA from 1 species
UCGUGCUCUCUCCCGGCAUCUCAUGUCUCCUGACAAUGAGGAGAGACAGAGCAUCGCUCAGGCAGUUAGGGCUGCUGGCUGAUUAGAGAAAAGAGGAGAGAAAGAGAGAGGAGAGAAGGAGAGAAAAACUUGAGAAGGAGAGAGAGGAGAUAAGGAGAGAGAGGAGAGAAGUUGGGAGAGUGGAGAGAAACUCGAGAAGGAGAGAGGGAGAUAAGGAGAGAGAGAGAGAGAGAGAGAGAGAGAGAAGGAGACAAGGAGACAAGGAGACAAGGAGAGAGGGAGAGAAGGAAAGAGGGAGAGAGAGGAGAGAGAGAGAGGAGAGAAGGACAGAGAGAGAGAGAGAGAGAGAGAGAGAGAGAGAGAGAGGAGAGAAGUAGAGAGAGGAGAGAAGGAGAGAGAGGAGAGAGAGAGAGUGGGGGGAGAGAGAGGAGAGAGAGAGAAGAUAAGGAGGAAGCCAUUUCAGAUCAGUCAUGUUUUGGCCUUUGAACAGAGUUUUAAUUGGAUGAAUGAACCGGAUCAGAGAAGCAACCAGCCAAUGACUGAGAAACAGUAUCUUUGAGUGAGGCAGGCCUGAAUACUGGGUGAACAAGAACACACAGAGAGAGAGAGAGUUUACAAUGGACACGUGGCUAGCGGUGAUCACACCCCAUGCCAAGAAUAUUACACGCCACAUAGGGAAAGAUGGAAAAAACCUUGGUUGGAAAAUUUAUAGUGGCCACUACAGAUGUAGGAUCUUAAUUUGAUCGUCCUGUUGUUCCAGCACAGCAGGAAAUGCAAACUGUUAGUGUAUUCGAGGUUUUAAAAAGGCUUCUAAACAAUGUAAAUUCCACUUUAACACUUCACAAAAAACUAUCAGCCCUUCCAUUAAUUAUAAUCCACACACUAAUUCACAUUUCCGGUUGCUGCAGGAUUAUUUCCCUGCUGUGAGAAACGUGUCGAAUUAAGAUCCUGUAUAUGUAUGUCACGGCUGUCGUAGGAAGAAGAGGACCAAAGUGCAGCGUGUGUGUCGUUCCACAUUUUAUUUAUACUGUGGAAACUACGCGAUACAUAAAAACACUGAAUGAAAAAAAAUAAAAUAAACUGUGACGCAGCGAUGAACACAUACACAACUCAAAAUUAAUCUCCCACAAAACCCAGGUGGAAAAAAAACCCUACUUAAGUAUGAUCUCCAAUUAGAGACAACGAGGACCAGCUGACUCUAAUUGGAGAUCAUCCCAAACAAAAACCCCAACAUAGAAAUACAAAACUAGAACCUAAACAUAGAAAUAGAAAACAUAGAAAAAACACCCCCUGUCACGCCCUGAACUACUCUACCAUAGAAAAUAACAUCUUACUAGGAUCAGGACGUGCCAAUGUAGCUGGUACAUAUAGAUAUGAUCAUCAGGAAAACAGUUUAGCAACCAGGGCAGAGAAACAGGAACAUGAGUUCACCGGAGUAACUGACUACCAGACCUGGAACAGAGACAGUAACUGACUAGCAGACCUGGAACAGAGACAGUAACUGACUAGCAGACCUGGAACAGAGACAGUAACUGACUAGCAG